UCACCCCCUACCCCUUCCACCAUGGUGACGCGGGCGGCCAAGCAGCGGGAGCUUUCCUCCACGUACCAAAGCUUCGCGGACACCGGCCCCACGUACUCCUACCUGGACCUUAGCCGCGCCCGCAGCGAUGAGUCCUUGAUGUGGGCGGCGGGCGAGGAGGCGGCGGCUCUCGUGGCUGAGCUGCGGGCGUCGCUGGCUGCGCCCCUUCCGCGCCUCGAGGACGCUCACGCCCCCGCCGGGGAGGACGACGAGCCCGAGGACGAGGGGCUGGAGAUGAGCGCUGUGCCCCUGCGGAGGGCGUCCCUGGGCAGGAUUUCCCUGGACAGGACGUCCAUGGAGAGGCUGUCUCUGGACAGGAGCUCUCUCGGGAGGGCGUCCUUCUGCGGCAGCGGCCGCUCGCUCUCCUUCACCGACCUGCACUCGGCCGCCACCUCCGCCGAGGACCUGCGUCUCUUCUGCUUCCACCCCGCGCGCCUGCCGUGCUCGCCCCACUGCGCCUCCUCCUGCGCCUCCUCCGCCUCCUCCACAGCGUCCUCCAGGAGCGCUGCCUCCGCCUGCGACAGCACUCUCAACAUCCUGGGAGGAGGCGUGGUCAGGCGCUGCAACCUGCGCACCUUCGGGGGCAGCUGGCGAUCGCUCCUCAAAAUGGGCGGGAUGAGCGGGCGCGCGAAGGCGACGGCCGCCGUCAAGAAGGUGUCGCCGCCGAGGGUCCCUGACACGGCCGUCUCGCACCGCCACUCGGGCUCCUCCCUCAGCUCCGGCGUGUACAGCACGGGCGGCAGCGACCAGCGCUCCUCCUACUCCUCCUCCGUGGGCGAGGACAACCCGCCGCCGUCGCCCAGGAGCCCCGCCAAGGGCAGUGUCCCUUGUGACCAUGGGCAGCUUGGCCGCCAUGGAGGGGCUAACCAGCAUGGAAACAACUCCCCAUCACAUUUCCACAACCAGCAGUUCACCUUCCCAACAAACCACCAGCAACAGGUACCUCAAUUUGCUCACCUGAUGUGCCCUAAGACCUCCCCUGGCUCUCCUCACCAUGUGCCACCAGACACAACGUAUUCAUAUCUUACCUACCAUCAUCAGACGUCCCUUGAGGACCAAGGCAUUGAUGUUCAGUCUCCAGGUCGUUCCAGUCCAGGCUCUGGGAGCGGCUCGUCCACUACUGGCUCCACUGCCUCAUCAGGAGGAUGUAGAAAUUCCACCACAUCUUUGGACUCGGGUCGAGCAUCCACCACAACCCACACACAUCAGCAUAGGCUCAGUGGGCAGAGCUAUGACAGUGGGUCCAUUCUUCGCCACAGCUACCAUUCGUCUAGCUCCAGUCUGGGGUCCAUGGAACAUGAUGGGGCCAUUCAUGUCAAUGUCACAGAGCUGCUCAACAAUGGCGUCAGAGACUCAGAAGUGUUGAGGGCUUGGCUCACAGAUCUCCGAUUUGAAGAAUACUAUGAGAAAUUCAUUUCUGCUGGCUAUGACAUGCCCACAAUCUUCAAAAUGACACCAGAAGAUCUGAAUGCCAUCGGUAUUACCAAACCAGCACACAGAAAGAAGCUCAAAGCUGAAAUCACUCGGCUUAACAUUCCUGACAGGCUGCCAGAUUUUAUUCCUGGUCGAUUAGAGGAAUGGUUAUCUAUUCUGCGUUUAGAGGAGUACACAGGGUCCCUUAAGCAGCAAGGCUAUACGUGCGUAGAGCAGAUGACACAACUGACUUGGGAGGAUCUUGAAGAUAUAGGCAUUACAAAAUUGGGACACCAGAAGAAAGUGAUGCUGGCUAUCAAACGUGUAAAGGACAUUAUGGCUGGGAAGAAAUUUUCAAGCAAUCCAGACAGUCAACAACAGUCGCACUAUGGAACUCAUGAAAUUAUGAUUUCCCGUGAAAACUGUGAAGGUCGAGACCAGUAUGCUAGUGUACCAGAAUUCAGGACCUUUUCAGGUCCAGGACUUUACAAUAAUGGCGAGCAUAGUAGAUUGAGUGGACCAGCUGACCCUGGAGGUCAUUAUGGUGUACCUGCACAUUAUGGACCUGGUGUUCAGUAUGGUCCAAUGCCACCUCCACAAGCACACGUCCAUCCUCUCCAAAAGCAACCAGUUGCAUAUCACCCACCAGGCCAGUUCAGUGGCCCUCAGGGCCCAUCACCUCCAGGGCCAAAGGUUUCUAAUGGGCAGCCACACCCCUUACCUGGUCCUGGCCAGGUGCAGUAUAGACCAGAUGUGGUAGCGGUGCAGGUUCGGCCUGGGGGCAGAGGAAGAAGUGUUGAAAGCUUAGAGGAACCCAUAUAUGGGACCUACCAAACAUUCCACCCAGACAGCCGAAUCCCAAAUGUCCAGGGCCCCAUGUCUCUUGGCAACCUCCCUCCUAGACCCUUCCCACCCUCAGCUCUAGGUCCGUCCCACCCCCAGCGGUCAAUGGACGAUGGUGACAUCACUCCUACAAAUGAAUACACCAUCAACUAUGAAGGUGGAGGAACUCUCCCCAGACCUCGCACAGCCAACAAACUCAGACCUGUUGCCAAAGUCACAGCAAAGACCAGGGUAGAUAUUCAUGAGGUGCCACAGUUCAUAAAGGAUGGAAACAAUGCGAAGAAUGCAGCACAGACUGAAGAAGCUAACAAGAAAGAGCUCAACAUGAAAACGCUAAACCGGCAAAAUUCAGAAAAUAUAUAUAGCUCCACUCAUUGCCCAGGAAGCAAUAAUAAUACCCCACAGGGAACUCCAAAGAAAUUACCCCCUCCACCCCCACGCCGCUCAAAUUCCAUCAGUGAGACAUCUAAAGAGACUGCUGCCAGAGAGGCUCAGUAUGGUUACCGGCGAGGAAUGUCCUAUGGAUACAUGGGCAUCAAAAACAACUUGCAGCCAGAUGUCACCCCUGAUCUCCCACCCCCUCCUGCACCCCCAGAUAGUGCCAACCACCAGCAUCUGCCCGAUGACUUCCCACCUCCCCCACCACCUCUGACUUGUGUAACUAUGGCCAGUGCCACCAGAAUUUCUGCCAGCUCAACAAUAACCACGUCCUCCAUCACAAGCGACACUAUUGCUACUUCACAGACCUCCACCACUGCCUCAGAUGGAGAAGUAGGCGAGUUCCGGCCAAGGCGCAAUGACUCCAAUGCCAGCUUUAAGUCGACCUCCAGCACAGACUCAGACUCGAUGCCGUUUGCUAAUGAGAAUGCUGGGACUAUCAAGCAGCGAGCAUGCCGCCCUCACCCAGGCCUCAGCGUCCUGGACACAAGAAAUUCCCCACACUCCUCUCCAAGAUCUUCCCCUGCUCUUCGCCGCAAGGAAACUCAGCCCCCCCUCAGGCAGAACCCAAUUGCUGCAGCUGAUCCAGCCAGUACAACAGCCACAAAGUCCAAUUCCAACAUCAGUGAAGUCACACUGCUCACUCAAGAACAUCAGUGCUGAGGUUAAAUUGCAACAGACAUUCCUUUUACUUUGGCAUACAUCGUGUUGCAGAGAGAGAGAGUACAUUUCUCCUGAUGGCACAGGGGACGUCCUGAAUGACAUCGGCAAUAUGCUCGCCAACUUGACGGAUGAACUUGACGCCAUGUUGGAACAAGAACUCACUCUUAAAAAUUAAGGGGAAUUGGAAAUUGAAGAUCUGUUCCUAUCAGUUAUGAAUACUAACAACUAAAUACUUCUACUCUUUUAGACUUUGAGUGAAUGAGUGAGGAGGGACUAUAAAGGGAGGAUGGGAGGAAGAAAGAUUGAAGAGGUUGGGAGAUGAAAUAUGGAUUGCUUGAAUGAGUGAGUGAUGUAUCAGAGUAAGAGAGAAUGAGUCAAAGAGUCUGUGGAGAUGUAUUGGUUAAGUUAUGAAGAAACAUCCUGUAACAGUGAUUGUAAUGAAAUCAUAGAAGAGAAGAUUAUAUUUUAAAGAAAUUUAUCGGCACUAAAUACACUGUUAUCAUAUAAACUUGCUAGUUGGGUAUCAAACCUGCACCGAUGUGUGUGUCAUUAUUAUGUUUUAAAAAAUAUACCAUAUAUGGAGAGAGUGCAGAUUUAGGACUAUAGAUGCUCUUCAGGAAGUAUUCCUGCUCUCCUUGUCCCCAAAAAUGGCACCAUUCAUCAUCACUUUUUUGACUGCAGGAUAAUGUCCUUGAUCUCAACUUUUAGAUAUAAGUGAUUUCAUUGAUGCAACUGUUGAGGCUCAUAAAACCACAAGAUUAUAUUUUCUUUCUUUUCUGUUGUUCUUUUUGAAUAUUGUAGGUCUCUGCUAUGGUUAUUCAGUGAAAUAGAGAAGACUAUGGCCAUGUAGUAAUUAUAGAAUAAAAAUGUGUUAUACAGAAACAAGGCAGUUGGAAUGAGAACUGAGAUUCAAAAAAAAGUUUGCCUUAUGAAUACAGUAUAUAUAGUGUUGAAUCAAGGCUAAUCUGUUAAGUAAAUUGCACAAGUACUUAUGUGAUUUACAAGUGACUGUAUUGUAGAUUGCACCAAAUUUAUUUUGAUGUAAAAGAAUAUCUUAUAAAAGUUUCUGUAUUGAUAAUGUGUAAAGGGUAGUUGGAACAAUAUUUUUGCCCUCGGGCCAAUUGCGCUAUGAUAAUCCACAUGCCCACCAAAGGCACAUCAUCAUUGAUGUGGUUAAACUUAACUUGUGGUGUAUGUUGUACUAUGUAUAUUAGAUGAAACAAUCAUAUAUACCAGGAGACAAAAAUUAGUGGAAUUUCUCCAAUAUAUCAUAUAAUUAAACCAAAACCAGAGGUUUUAGAAGCAAAAUAUUGCCAAGAAAUGGUGGUAGUUAUUGAUAUCAUUAUUUGUAUUUUCUUGGAAGUAACAAAUGGGGGAUGCAGAACAUGAUCUAGUUCCUUGAAAGUUAUCAGAUCUUGCAUAGAAAAUCUGUACUUAUUCAUAUACAUGGAUUUAUUGCUGCAAUCUCUCUCUUUUUUAUUAUUAUUAUCAAACCCAAUCUUUUACCUAAGUUAAUAAAGAUAAAUAUAUAUUUCUGAAAUAUAGUCAAUUUACAUUUUUGUUCUGUAUUACUGGUUGCUGUGUAUUAUGAAGUGAUAUGAAUCUUGUUACAGGGGUAGAGAGAAAAACAAAACAAGUAAAAAUAUUUUGUUUAAUUACACUGUAAAUAUCUUGUACAGAAUCUGUAAAUAUCUAGGGAUAAUACUGUGUGUGGGUUUCAACUUUAUCCAAAAAACAGAUGGAAGUCAAAGUGAAAUCUGAUGGAAUUUUGUUUCCUGUCCACUCAGAAGAGAAAGCCUUUGUUUACAAGACGAGUUAUACACUCACUUUCUAUGCUUGCUUCUAUGAUCUUUCUGCAUAGGGUUUUCAAUCUGUUACCAGUCUCAUUGAGCUUUUGCAUUAUGAAAAGUUCACAUCGAGGAUAUAUGCCAUUUUAGCUUAUACUUGUUACUAGAAGGAGAAGAUCCAAAACAUGCUGGUCACGUGGUAGCUCAGGCAGGAAAGGCGUAGUUGAAUUUGAAUCUGAGAAAGAGGAUGGGUUAAGCUUGCAAUAUAAUCACAGGAAUUUUCCAGAAGAUAUGGAUUAUCAGUGUGAAUAUGACUGUUCUGUGGUUUUUGUUUGUAAACAAUACUUAUGUGAUAAAUGUUUAUUUGAAAACUGAAAGGAUGAAAUUAACAUAGCAAGUUUUCUAUUAUGCUAGCUGUAUGACCAGACAAUGUAGAAGGCAUUCUCAGUUAGUCAAUAGCCUAUACCCUCUUAAGAAAGAAAGGGCUUAAAAGUGCACAGCCAUAUGCAUACACUUACAUAAACUUAUAUAGGAUUUUGAGCUCAGAAUUACCUGUGAACACUAUGUAAUAAUAGGCUGUUUGUAUGGUAGUUAGCCUACUAGAAUGUCAGGAGGAAUCAUGCAAUAUUGAGCACUGGACAGGAUUAACAAGUCCUUUGAUAGAUAUGUUAAGCAACAUUGCAUGUCUUCAUGAACAUUUUUCUCUAUGUAUGCUAUUAUACCCCACUUAUAUAGUAGAGUUGUCUUUGGUCUGUAAGAAAUGCCAAAUAGUGGGACAGUUAAAACAGAAAGAUUGGCAAAGCUGUGUUUGAUAGUCAUUGCAAGUUAAAACACAAAUGUAUUUCAUAUUUCCUUGGUGUGAUCUGAACUUUUUGAGUUUUGGAAAGCAACUUUAUGUGUUUCUUGGGAGUUAUCAUAAGUGAUAUUUCACUUGUUUACAACAUUAAGGUAGCAGUUUAUAGGAGGCUUAUUUUUUGUAUAGUAUGUACAAUAUAUAUAUAAAUCUGCCAAUUUUGUGUUGAGUAUUGACAUCUAGCCAUCAUAUUUUCCAUGCUGUUGUCAGCUGUCUUUUUCAUUACUGUAUGUAUAUCAUAUACCUUAAUAUUGAAUAUUGAAGAAGUAUAAUCUUUAGUGUUUUUAGA